rnacentral:lncRNA from 1 species
UAAAAUGAAAUAUAGAAGGAAAAGUAAAGUACGUAACUAAACUAAGAAAAAAAUUAGUUUCCUCCCUCAUUUGGAUGAUUGGUGGGCGUAAGUGGAACCUCUUCUAUAAGAGAGGGAUCUUCAGGACUCUCAUCCCCUGCUAUUGAACCAUCUUCAUUGUCUUCAGUGUUAGGUGUAUCGGGAAUGAUUAAAUCUCCGGACCAUUUCCAUUCCUUUUGGAGAGUGCUCUAUUCUUCACCCUC